GCCUGUUCUUCAAUGAAGAUGAUCUGUGAAAGAGGAAUAGCCAUACAAGAUUCCUAGAUGGAAAAAACAGAGAACAAAAUCAAGACAUAUUUUGCCAAGUGUGGCCCUCCCAAAGUUGGCAGACUGCAAUUCCCAGCAUCCACAGCCAGCACAGCCAAUGAUCUUCUUCACAGCUGCAGAUGUGAAAUUUUGUGAUGAUGAAUUAUCUAACUCAUGACUAACUCAGAAUGUGAUUCCAGGUCUAUUGCUCUUGUGGUUGUUCUACUCAUAAUUUUACAAAUCCAUCUAUUUAAAAAGAUUAUAUAUUCACAAAGGGGCAAUAAA